rnacentral:rRNA from 2 species
UAUCAAUAAGCGGAGGAAAAGAAACCAACAGGGAUUGCCCCAGUAACGGCGAGUGAAGCGGCAACAGCUCAAAUUUGAAAUCUGGCCCCUAGGGCCCGAGUUGUAAUUUGUAGAGGAUGCUUUUGGCAAGGUGCCUUCCGAGUUCCCUGGAACGGGACGCCAUAGAGGGUGAGAGCCCCGUCUGGUUGGAUACCGAGCCUCUGUAAAGCUCCUUCGACGAGUCGAGUAGUUUGGGAAUGCUGCUCUAAAUGGGAGGUAUAUGUCUUCUAAAGCUAAAUAUUGGCCAGAGACCGAUAGCGCACAAGUAGAGUGAUCGAAAGAUGAAAAGCACUUUGAAAAGAGGGUUAAAUAGUACGUGAAAUUGUUGAAAGGGAAGCGCUCAUGACCAGACUUGGGCCCGGUGAAUCAUCCAGCGUUCUCGCUGGUGCACUUUGCCGGGCUCAGGCCAGCAUCAGUUUGCUCCGGGGGAUAAAGGCUUUGGGAAUGUGGCUCCUCCGGGAGUGUUAUAGCCCUUUGCAUAAUACCCUGGGGCGGACUGAGGUUCGCGCAUCUGCAAGGAUGCUGGCGUAAUGGUCAUCAGCGACCCGUCUUGAAACACGGACCAAGGAGUCGUCUUCGUAUGCGAGUGUUCGGGUGUAAAACCCCUACGCGUAAUGAAAGUGAACGCAGGUGAGAGCUUCGGCGCAUCAUCGACCGAUCCUGAUGUUCUCGGAUGGAUUUGAGUAAGAGCAUACGGGGCCGGACCCGAAAGAAGGUGAACUAUGCCUGUAUAGGGUGAAGCCAGAGGAAACUCUGGUGGAGGCUCGCAGCGGUUCUGACGUGCAAAUCGAUCGUCAAAUAUGGGCAUGGGG